AUUAGCUCUGGGAAAAAUAAAACUAGAGGGAUGUGUGGUGUAAGUUGAGAGAAAGAUGGUUGGGGGAAGAGGCAGGCUGGACUAAGAAGCUGGUGAGGAAAGGAAGACUUUGACAACAUGGGAGUGACUUUACUGAAUGCUGUAACUUCAUGCAGUUUGAGGCCUAACAAGAACUGUGGAUCUUCCCACAGCAGGGUUUGUCUGUAGGGUGAUGCACCUGGAAAAAGCACUGCCUGUGGUAGAUUGACAAGACCUAAAUUCUGUGGCAAGACACAGCAAGAUUUAGAGAGGAACAGAAGGAGCUGAAAACAUGAUGAAAGAGAGAGAUGUGAUCAGAUCAGGCUAGGUAUUACCACCAUUUCCAGCUGGCCCAGGCUUGGCCAGCAGCAGGUCCACCUUUGAUCCAUCUGGGAUUAGCUCUGUCAGACAUGGAGGAAGCUUCCAGCAACUUCUCACAGAAGCCACCCCCUGCAGCCCUCCUGCUACCAAAACCUGGGCAUACCAACCCAAUACAGUGUGCCUGACAGGCUAAGAGGAGACACAGCCAGGACAGGUGACCCAACGUGACCAAAGGAAUAUUCCAGACCAUAGGACAUCAUGCUCAGGAUAUAAAGCUGGGAAGAAAAAGGAGGAAGCAGGGGGACAUUCCAUGUGAUGGUGUUUGUCUUCCCAAGCCACCAUUACAUGUGAUGGGGCCCUGCUCCCCUGGAGAUGGCUGAACACCUGCCUGCC